GCCCAAAAACAUUACAACCGCAAGCCGCUGCGGCCUGCAAUAUUAAGGUCAGAUCAAUACCCAGAUUCUUUCGCAUUUCCCUACCAAUCUUUCCCUCCUUCGAGCGGUUAUCACGAUUCAAGAACAACGCGCGAGAGGGGUCAGAGCAGUACAUUUUUAUUCUACUGCAACCGGAAGUUAUACUAAUUGAGACCGUCGAACCCUAGCACCUAUCUGUUCAAUCGCUGCCAUGGUGAACCCUUAUGACCACAGAUAUUCCGAUCCCGAUUCUUACCGUCACCGUCGCAGUGAUCUGAUGGGGCCUCCACCGGUCGGACCGGCAAUGAUGGGGGGACCUUAUGGGCGCGGUGGACCAGCGCCUUAUGGUGGUCCUCCGCCAUCUUUUGCGGGACGAGGUGGUCCUGGAGCGGUAGGUGGUUAUCCACAUUUCGAGCCUCCUGUUGGUAGAUUCGAUAUCGGUCGAGGUGGUGGCACUGUCAGUGGAGGGAGGGGCUUCAGUGGUAACCGUCUGCCCAAUGGUCAUAUUGGGGAUAGAAGGCCUGGUGCAGCUCGUUUUGGCGGUGGACGGGGCCGUGAUGGUGGACGAGGCGGCGGACGUGGUGGUGGGCGCGGUGUUGGUGGAGGAAGGGGAUUUGAUGGUGGUCGUGGUGGUGGAAGAGGAGGUAGGCACGUUGGGGUAGCGACUAGAGGAGACUUGGAUAAUAUUUCCCUUCCCAAGCAGGAUUUUGGGAAUUUGGUGCCUUUUGAGAAGAAUUUCUACAUUGAAAGCCCUUCAAUUCAGUCUAUGUCUGAAAAUGAAGCUUUGAUGUAUCGAGCAAGAAGGGAUAUUACUGUUGAAGGGCAUGAUGUUCCUAAACCCAUUCGGAUGUUUCAAGAGGCUAAUUUCCCUGAUUAUUGCUUAGAGGUGAUUGCGAAGUUGGGUUUUGUUGAGCCAACACCAAUCCAGGCACAAGGGUGGCCUAUGGCCCUCAAGGGUAGAGAUUUAGUUGGCAUUGCAGAGACUGGUUCUGGUAAGACUUUGGCGUACCUGCUACCAGCUUUGGUGCAUGUUAGUGCACAACCUCGAUUAGUACAAGGUGAGGGUCCAAUCGUGUUAGUGUUAGCUCCUACAAGAGAAUUAGCUGUUCAAAUCCAAGAAGAAGCUAUGAAGUUUGGUUCCCAUGCUAAUAUUAGGAGUACUUGCAUAUAUGGUGGUGCUCCCAAAGGACCUCAAAUUCGUGAUCUUCAAAGAGGUGUUGAGAUUGUGAUUGCUACUCCUGGACGAUUAAUUGAUAUGUUAGAAGCUCAACACACAAACCUGCGAAGAGUCACCUACCUUGUGUUGGAUGAGGCUGAUAGGAUGCUGGACAUGGGAUUUGAGCCUCAGAUUAGGAAGAUUGUAUCUCAAAUUCGACCUGAUAGACAGACUUUAUAUUGGAGUGCCACAUGGCCAAGGGAGGUUGAGACUCUAGCAAGGCAGUUUCUGCGCAAUCCAUACAAGGUAAUCAUUGGCUCACCAUAUCUGAAAGCAAAUCAAUCAAUCAACCAAGUUGUUGAAGUUAUGACAGAGGUGGAGAAGUACAACAGGCUGAUCAAACUUCUAAAAGAAGUGAUGGAUGGGAGUCGAAUUUUAAUAUUCAUGGAGACCAAGAAAGGCUGUGACCAAGUUACGAGGCAGUUGAGAAUGGAUGGAUGGCCAGCACUAUCCAUCCAUGGUGAUAAAAAUCAAGCUGAAAGGGAUUGGGUCUUAUCUGAGUUCAAAAGUGGCAGAAGUCCUAUAAUGACUGCCACUGAUGUUGCUGCACGGGGUCUUGGUAGGAUUAUUGUGUGAUAGGGGUCUUUGUUCUUUUUGCUUGGAUCUUGAAUCUUAGAUAUGCGAGUCGGCCGGCUGCUAUCCAGUUUCCGGAGUAUAUAAUUUGUGGUAUGGGUUCUAAGGGAGGUGACAUAGUGCACAAUGAUUGACAGAUUGUUUUGUAUUAACCUGCAAGCAAGAUUUUCUUACUUUAAGGGAUUUGCAAGUUGGAUUGAGAUGCAUAUCAGCUUCUCAUAUUCGCAAUAAUAUUCCAUAAAGUGGCCUACUUGGUUACUACCUUACUCUUACAGCUCAUGUUACAUGGACAUAAGGAGUGGUGCCUAUUGCUAUUUUUGGGACAGCAAUUAAAGAUUUUUCAGGGCUGCCCAUAUAUCAUGAAGAUAGCAGUAUAUUCUCUAGGCGGGGAACGUGUCAAUUUUUUUUUUUAUCUUUUUUUGUUCUGACUGGGGUAAGAAAAAGAUAAUUUGGGAAUGUAGUUUCAUGUGCUGCUCUAAUUUUCAUGAAUUGGCAUGGCUCCAAGUAUCAGGUGUCUAAGUAACAUGGUUGAAGGCAGUGUCCCCAUCCACGAUUAUGGAGCUGGUUUGUCUCGGCAGCCGGGUUGACUCACUCUUGCUUAUAGAUUGAUUGGAUACAGAUGUGGGUGGGUGGUAUUGAAGCUGCUCCUUAUCCCUGCAAGGUUAAGAUGUGAAGGACAUAAAGUGUGUGAUCAACUAUGAUUUUCCUUCCAGCCUUGAGGAUUAUGUCCACAGGAUUGGCCGAACUGGUCGAGCAGGGGCUAGGGGAAAUGCUUUUACCUUUUUCACCCAUGCAAAUGCAAAGUUUGCUCGGGAUCUUAUCAAGAUUUUACAGGAAGCAAGGCAGAUCAUCUCUCCAGCAUUGUCUGCUUUGGCUCGGUCAGGUGGUGCUCCAGGAGGUUCUGGGGGUAACUUCCGAUCUAGAGGACGAGGAGGCUUUGGUAAUCGCUCAUUAAUUUCAGGAUCUAAUACUAUUCCUCUUGGUUCAAAGAGGCCUUGGUAAUGUUAUAUUGUAGCUGCCACUCGAUUCUUCAAGGAACAAGCUUAGGGUAGCAUGUAUAAAGCUGCUAGUAUGGUGUUUGCUGUCUGUAUAUUAGUUUUUCAUCCUGAUAUCAGGUCAUAUUAUAAAUUCAGAUGACAAUGCCCUUAAGUUGAGGAAUUCGUUUGAUAGCAAUUCUUAGUUGCUUUGGCAUCUUAUUGCAAAUUUUAGCGUAAAACUUUUUCAGUUAGCGCUGUACUUUGUUUAGUAAUUCGUGAUGUGCCUAUUUAACUGCUUUUUGGUA